UACAGAGGGUGCAAGCGUUGUUCGGAAUCAUUGGGCGUAAAGGGCGCGUAGGCGGCCUUGCAAGUCGGAUGUGAAAGCCCAGGGCUCAACCUUGGAAGUGCAUCCGAAACUGCAAGGCUCGAAUCUCGGAGAGGGUGGUGGAAUUCCCAGUGUAGAGGUGAAAUUCGUAGAUAUUGGGAGGAACACCGGUGGCGAAAGGCGACCGCCUGGGACGAAGAUUGACGCUGGAGGCGCGAGAGCGUGGGGAGCAAACAGG
rnacentral:rRNA from 1 species